GACCCCCUGGCGCAAUGGUAGCGCACCACAUGGAUGUUGGUCUGCCAGCCUGCGAGUUACCCUCCUGGCAUUGCAGAUCAAGAUGUGGAGAUCCAGGUUCGAGUCCUGGGGAGAUCA